CAGUCGUUGCGGGAAUACGGAGGGUGCAAGCGUUAAUCGGAAUUACUGGGCGUAAAGCGCACGCAGGCGGUCUGACAAGUCAGAUGUGAAAUCCCCGGGCUUAACCUGGGAACUGCAUUUGAAACUGUCAGGCUGGAGUCUUGUAGAGGGGGGUGGAAUUCCAGGUGUAGCGGUGAAAUGCGUAGAGAUCUGGAGGAAUACCGGUGGCGAAGGCGGCCCCCUGGACAAAGACUGACGCUCAGGUGCGAAAGCGUGGGGAGCAAACAGGAUUAGAUACCCCGGUAGUCCCUGUCUCUUAUAA
rnacentral:rRNA from 1 species